CGCGUAGGCGGCUGGACAAGUUGGAUGUGAAAGCCCCGGGCUCAACCUGGGAAGUGCAACCAAAACUGUCCGGCUUGAAUCUCGGAGGGGGUCAGAGAAUUCCCGGUGUAGAGGUGAAAUUCGUAGAUAUCGGGGGGAAUACCAGUGGCGAAGGCGCUGACCUGGACGAUGAUUGACGCUGAGGCGCGAAAGCGUGGGUAGCAAACA
rnacentral:rRNA from 1 species